rnacentral:rRNA from 1 species
UACAGAGACCUCAAGCGUUAUCCGGAAUCAUUGGGCGUAAAGCGUUCCGAUAGGUUGUUUUGAAAGUCUUGGGUAAAAGCCAGAAGCUUAACUUCUGCGUUUGCUUAAGAUACUGCAAAACUAGAGGGGCAAAGAGGUGCUUGGAACGAACGGUGUAGUAGUGAAAUGCGUUGAUAUCGUUCGGAACACCGAAAGCGAAGGCAGAGCACUGGGUGCCACCUGACACUGCUAGGACGAAAGCGUGGGGAGCGAAUGGG